rnacentral:rRNA from 1 species
CCUACGGGAGGCAGCAGUGGGGAAUAUUGCACAAUGGGGGAAACCCUGAUGCAGCAACGCCGCGUGAGUGAAGAAGUAUUUCGGUAUGUAAAGCUCUAUCAGCAGGGAAGAAGAUGACGGUACCUGAUUAAGAAGCCCCGGCUAACUACGUGCCAGCAGCCGCGGUAAUACGUAGGGGGCAAGCGUUAUCCGGAUUUACUGGGUGUAAAGGGAGCGCAGACGGCAGUGCAAGUCUGGAGUGAAAGCCCGGGGCCCAACCCCGGAACUGCUCUGGAAACUGUGCGGCUAGAGUACUGGAGGGGCAGGCGGAAUGCCUAGUGUAGCGGUGAAAUGCGUAGAUAUUGGGUAGAACACCGGUGGCGAAGGCGGCUAUCUGGCCAUUUACUGACGCUGAGGCUCGAAAGCAUGGGGAUCAAACAGGAUUAGAUACCCGAGUAGUC